rnacentral:lncRNA from 1 species
GAAAAGACGAAAAUGGGAAGAAGCAAGGGCCAAGUAUGUUUGGAAAACCAAAAGGCCACUCUACCGUUCACACAUUGAUAAGUCAGUCGCAUAUAAGAGAAGAGAAAUGGUGGAGAAUCUUCAGAAACAGUUUAGUGCCCUGAUUGGUUCAGCACCCGAGGUGGAAAGGCAGGCCCCUUCAAGUUUUCAGCUCAACUGGACUGGAGAAGACACCGGUAGCCCUUGUUUCCAUGGACACAGCCUCCAGGGGCUCCUGAUAUCGAAAGGCCAGGCCUUGAUAACCAAGAACUCCCUGUACUGGCUCAGUACCCACAAGUUCUGUAAAAGCUAUUGUAAACAUGUGACAACUUACGAAGAAUCAAAUUUUUCUUUGAGUUACCAGUUUAUACUAAACAUUUUCUCCUUCUUACUGAGAAUAAAGACCUCUGCUCUCCAUGAAGAAGUGAGCCUACUUGAAAAGAAACUUUUUGAAAAAAAGUACAAUGAAUCAAAAAGGAGCUCAAGAUCCAAGAAAGUGAGAAGACAUUGAGAAGCCAGAGGGGCUUGCUCUGAAUGGUGCGCUAUUGGAUAAUGAUGUCUUAGCACUAUGUUCCAGGGAACUAUGUAAAGUCUAUUGUUGGACAGGCAUACAUUUUGACAGGUGUCUUUAUAUGCAUUGUAAAAUAGGUGAACUUUGAAUUAUUUUCAUGAACACUUUUUUUCAGAAAAUUAAAAUAUUAUAUAAAUGAUA